AGUCAAGUUGUGUUGAGUCGAGUCUCAUAGUAGUCGUUGCUGCUACUGUGUCAGCCAUUAGAGGGUAAAGCAUGUCUGCUUUGCCAAGGUGACUUAAGAAUUUCUGCAGUUCCUAUGGCUCCUCACAUCUUCUUCCAGCUCCGCCCUGCCUGCCCUGCCAGUGAGACAAGAGCACUCUGAAGCAUGUCUCAUCAUGAACCAGGACUUCGGUUCAAAUGGAGAAAGAGGAUUCAGCGAGUUUUGGGGGGUCAUAAUGAGUAUGGAUUUCCACUCUGGAGAAGUCAACUGAUGAAGAACAGGGGUUGGCAAUCUUCCCGUUGGUGUAUUUUUGGUAAAUUGCUGACUCUGAUGCAGAAGGAGCAUGGAUGCUGAAGCCAAGAAGCAGAAAUCAGCCAACUGACAGAAGUGGCAACUAGACACAAAACAACUUAGUGAUGGGUUCAAGAAGAUGGGGUCAAUUUAAAAUUUUUUUAAUUUAUUCUUCAGUUACAACUGAAUAUAUUUUUGAGCAGGCAAUGAAUUAAAACACAAAGAACAGUAAGCAGAGAAACAUAUGUUAGGUAAAUUACAGAGACUUUUUAGUGAAACUAUUUUUUAACUUACUGCAAUUCAACUCAAGAUAAUAUUUUUAUAUUUUCAAGUUAAUUUUUACAUCACAAAUCAAGAUUUAUCUAUGUUCAGAUAGGUUCUGCUGGCUUAUGUCCAAAAGGCUUUGCUCUCUGGAGAGAAGUAUUCCUUGCUUUUAAAGCACUUAUUAACACUUUUUACUUGUCAGGAAUUAUGCCCAGUAUCAAGGCUAUGAAGGACUAGACACAGCCCCUAUCCUGGUGGGGUGGGGAGGGAUUGUCAUGGAGACUAUAUGCUCAAACAUUUUCCCGCCUCACCAUCAUUUUCCAUCUUACAAUGCCACCAAUCUGAGCUUUAUAGAUAGUUUCUCUGUACAGUUUCUGUACAUUUGAUAAUGAUCCUUAAUUCAAUUCACCUGACCUCUCAAAAUCUUGCCAUGCUUUAUUUUUUCCUUUCUUUAACUUCUUUUUUUCCCCCUGGGUUCGUUCUUCCAUGCCAG
ensembl:lncRNA